GUAGGACGAUAUGCACUUUUAUCC
rnacentral:siRNA from 1 species